AGAGUUUGAUCCUGGCUCAGAACGAACGCUGGCGGCAGGCCUAAUACAUGCAAGUCGAGCGCGCCCUUCGGGGUGAGCGGCGGACGGGUGAGUAACGCGUGGGAAUAUGCCCUUCUCUAAGGAAUAGCCUCGGGAAACUGAGAGUAAUACCUUAUACGCCCUUCGGGGGAAAGAUUUAUCGGAGAAGGAUUAGCCCGCGUUAGAUUAGGUAGUUGGUGGGGUAAUGGCCUACCAAGCCUACGAUCUAUAGCUGGUUUGAGAGGAUGAUCAGCCACACUGGGACUGAGACACGGCCCAGACUCCUACGGGAGGCAGCAGUAGGGAAUCUUAGACAAUGGGGGAAACCCUGAUCUAGCCAUGCCGCGUGUGUGAUGAAGGCCUUAGGGUCGUAAAGCACUUUCGCCAGAGAUGAUAAUGACAGUAUCUGGUAAAGAAACCCCGGCUAACUCCGUGCCAGCAGCCGCGGUAAUACGGAGGGGGUUAGCGUUGUUCGGAAUUACUGGGCGUAAAGCGUACGUAGGCGGAUUAGUAAGUUAGAGGUGAAAUCCCAGGGCUCAACCCUGGAACUGCCUUUAAUACUGCUAGUCUUGAGUUCGAGAGAGGUAAGUGGAAUUCCGAGUGUAGAGGUGAAAUUCGUAGAUAUUCGGAGGAACACCAGUGGCGAAGGCGGCUUACUGGCUCGAUACUGACGCUGAGGUACGAAAGUGUGGGGAGCAAACAGGAUUAGAUACCCUGGUAGUCCACACCGUAAACGAUGAAUGCCAGACGUCAGCAAGUAUAC
rnacentral:rRNA from 1 species